rnacentral:tRNA from 1 species
GCCCGCAGGUGUGUGGUCCGGGGACGAGCCCCAGCUCGCGGUGCGGGGCGGAGCGGUGUGGGUGCCGCGCCUGGCCCGGGUCGAACCCGGCCUGCGGGUGCC